AGAGUUUGAUCCUGGCUCAGGAUGAACGCUGGCGGCGUGCCUAAUACAUGCAAGUCGAGCGAACAGACAAGGAGCUUGCUCCUUUGACGUUAGCGGCGGACGGGUGAGUAACACGUGGGUAACCUACCUAUAAGACUGGGAUAACUUCGGGAAACCGGAGCUAAUACCGGAUAAUAUUUCGAACCGCAUGGUUCGAUAGUGAAAGAUGGUUUUGCUAUCACUUAUAGAUGGACCCGCGCCGUAUUAGCUAGUUGGUAAGGUAACGGCUUACCAAGGCGACGAUACGUAGCCGACCUGAGAGGGUGAUCGGCCACACUGGAACUGAGACACGGUCCAGACUCCUACGGGAGGCAGCAGUAGGGAAUCUUCCGCAAUGGGCGAAAGCCUGACGGAGCAACGCCGCGUGAGUGAUGAAGGUCUUCGGAUCGUAAAACUCUGUUAUUAGGGAAGAACAUACAUGUAAGUAACUAUGCACGUCUUGACGGUACCUAAUCAGAAAGCCACGGCUAACUACGUGCCAGCAGCCGCGGUAAUACGUAGGUGGCAAGCGUUAUCCGGAAUUAUUGGGCGUAAAGCGCGCGUAGGCGGUUUUUUAAGUCUGAUGUGAAAGCCCACGGCUCAACCGUGGAGGGUCAUUGGAAACUGGAAAACUUGAGUGCAGAAGAGGAAAGUGGAAUUCCAUGUGUAGCGGUGAAAUGCGCAGAGAUAUGGAGGAACACCAGUGGCGAAGGCGACUUUCUGGUCUGUAACUGACGCUGAUGUGCGAAAGCGUGGGGAUCAAACAGGAUUAGAUACCCUGGUAGUCCACGCCGUAAACGAUGAGUGCUAAGUGUUAGGGGGUUUCCGCCCCUUAGUGCUGCAGCUAACGCAUUAAGCACUCCGCCUGGGGAGUACGACCGCAAGGUUGAAACUCAAAGGAAUUGACGGGGACCCGCACAAGCGGUGGAGCAUGUGGUUUAAUUCGAAGCAACGCGAAGAACCUUACCAAAUCUUGACAUCCUUUGACAACUCUAGAGAUAGAGCCUUCCCCUUCGGGGGACAAAGUGACAGGUGGUGCAUGGUUGUCGUCAGCUCGUGUCGUGAGAUGUUGGGUUAAGUCCCGCAACGAGCGCAACCCUUAAGCUUAGUUGCCAUCAUUAAGUUGGGCACUCUAAGUUGACUGCCGGUGACAAACCGGAGGAAGGUGGGGAUGACGUCAAAUCAUCAUGCCCCUUAUGAUUUGGGCUACACACGUGCUACAAUGGACAAUACAAAGGGCAGCGAAACCGCGAGGUCAAGCAAAUCCCAUAAAGUUGUUCUCAGUUCGGAUUGUAGUCUGCAACUCGACUACAUGAAGCUGGAAUCGCUAGUAAUCGUAGAUCAGCAUGCUACGGUGAAUACGUUCCCGGGUCUUGUACACACCGCCCGUCACACCACGAGAGUUUGUAACACCCGAAGCCGGUGGAGUAACCAUUUGGAGCUAGCCGUCGAAGGUGGGACAAAUGAUUGGGGUGAAGUCGUAACAAGGUAACCGUA
rnacentral:rRNA from 1 species